rnacentral:rRNA from 1 species
UACGUAGGGUGCGAGCGUUGUCCGGAAUUACUGGGCGUAAAGAGCUCGUAGGCGGUUUGUCGCGUCGUCCGUGAAAACUUGGGGCUCAACUCCAAGCUUGCGGGCGAUACGGGCAGACUUGAGUACUGCAGGGGAGACUGGAAUUCCUGGUGUAGCGGUGAAAUGCGCAGAUAUCAGGAGGAACACCGGUGGCGAAGGCGGGUCUCUGGGCAGUAACUGACGCUGAGGAGCGAAAGCGUGGGGAGCAAACAGG